CAGCCUAUUGAGUCCACUGGUCCCACUCAUUCACUCAGCCUAUUGAGUCCACUGGUCUCACUCACACAGAACUACCCUACGCCUUGACCUCUUUCUCCCCUCUCUCUCCAGAACUAACCUACGUCUUGACCUCUUAUGAAAUUGCUUAUUCCAGUUACUAAUAAGCAUACACCCAUUAAGAAAAUUACUGUAAAAACGAUUAAAUCCCCGUGGAUUGAUGAGGAAUUGAAAAAUUGUAUGGUUGAGAGGGAUGAGGAAAAAUGUAUGGCAAAUGAGUCUGGCUACACAACCAACUGGCAAACAUAUUUGCCGUGGCGGCAGGUAGCCUAGUGGUUAGAGUGUAUGGGCGGCAGGUAGCCUAGUGGUUAGAGUGUAGGGGCGGCAGGUAGCCUAGUGGUUAGAGUGUAGAGGCGGCAGGUAGCCUAGUGGUUAGAGUGUAAGGGGGGCAGGUAGCCUAGUGGUUAGAGUGUAGGGGCGGCAGGUAGCCUAGUGGUUAGAGUGUAGGGGCGGCAGGUAGCCUAGUGGUUAGAGUGUAGGGGCGGCAGGUAGCCUAGUGGUUAGAGUGUAGGGGCGGCAGGUAGCCUAGUGGUUAGAGUGUAGGGGCGGCAGGUAGCCUAGUGGUUAGAGUGUAGGGGGGGCAGGUAGCCUAGUGGUUAGAGUGUAUGGGCGGCAGGUAGCCUAGUGGUUAGAGUGUAGGGGCGGCAGGUAGUCUAGUGGUAAGAGUGUAGGGGGGGCAGGUAGCCUAGUGGUUAGAGUGUAUGGGCGGCAGGUAGCCUAGUGGUUAGAGUGUAGGGGCGGCAGGUAGCCUAGUGGUUAGAGUGUAGGGGGGGCAGGUAGCCUAGUGGUUAGAGUGUAGGGGCGGCAGGUAGCCUAGUGGUUA
rnacentral:lncRNA from 1 species